rnacentral:lncRNA from 1 species
CGAAUCGCCGCCCGCCGAAAAUUUCCCACGGCGGCAGCCGACGGCCAAUCACCUCCAAAAUCACAUCCCUAACUACUCUCCACCUCCCCAUCCUAAAUACAAAAACACCUCUUUUAAAAUCCCUCUGAAAUCCUUCAAAUUUUAGAAAAAAUAAACGAAACCCUACAGCGCCGCCCUGUUUUCCACCACCAUCCACCGGCGGCGCCGUCCCCAAACCCCCACCAAAAUAACACACUGAAACCUCUGCCCCUUCCUUUUCCCAAAUCUACCAGCAAAAUCCCCUAAAACACUUUCUAGUUUCUCGAAUUUUGAAUCUGAAAUAUUAAAGAAAAAAAACCUAGUUCUUCUAAGGUUGUUUCUUCGUCUUUUAGAGUUCAAUAUGACUCAAGGGUCGUGUUAACCAAGAGUUCCCAUCUAGAACCCUUGAUUAACACGAGUUUUUAGUCGAUUUUGAGAGCCGUAGCUACUUUGGUCGACCUUGCUUCUCCGCCUUCUGGGUCGUGUUUGGAUUCAACCACUAGGCCUCCUGGUUAGUCAGUAUCUCACCUUUUUUAUUUGAUUUUGUUUUUAUCUUUGUUUUAUUCUCUUUUAAUUUUCUAGUGAUUCUAAUGGUUUACCUGAAAAUAUUUGAAGGAAAUGGACAACUAUCCGUAAAUUAGUUUUAAAAGAUGCCUUGUGAGGGUAUUUUGGAAAUAUCUGAUUGUCUUACGUUGGAAGGCACACCACAGAUCCCCACCCCUAUAAAUGAAGUCUUCCUUUCACUCAAUACACAACUCUAAAAAGACGAAACGAUAAAAAGAAAUACUGAAUUCCAGAAUUAGUUGAUUUUCUUCUAAUAAAGUCCAAGAAAAAUGCUUAAAAUUGUUUGAAUUAGCUCUGGUUGUUUGGUUUGGCUCUCUGAACCUCCUGUGAAUUGAGAAUUUCUAGAAAACUUCUGAACUUGUUCAUUUGGUUAGAGAAAUGGUUUAAGCUUUGGUUUGGAGUUAGUUUUUUGAAGUUCUUCUACUGUUCCAUUGGUUUCUUUUGGGUUGUUCACUAUUUGAUUGGUCAAAAUAUGGGCUGAUUGCUACUGCAUACUGCUGAGCUCUCACUUUUUUCAUUUUGAUUCCUAGGUAUUUCUCCAUCCAUGAGCAAUAAGUAAAUGUUGACUAUGUGAUUCACGUGAAAAUUUGAUGAAAUGCAAGUUACAUUUAACUUAGUUUUCUUUCUAGUUCUCCUACUGUUUUCAAUGCUCUGUAGUAGUAGAUUUCUAAUUAUAAAUGUCAACUAGGCUUUCCCCAUCAUUACUUGUGUAUUUUGAAUCCAUGUAUGAGAGUGAUAUAUUCUGAAUCUAUGUUUGAGAAUAGGAGUAAAUAUGAGUUUGUAAUGACAAAUGAACUAUGGACAAUAGCUUUUUAGUUUUAUUUUUGAUUUGAUGUUCUAGGUCAAUGAUUUCUGUUUAGUUUCUGCAGAAGAUCAGUGAGGUUUUAGUUUUGAUGUUUAUCUGAAUUCAUUAAUAUGCUAAGUGUUGGCUUGUAUGUAUAUUGAUAUAUACAGAUUCUUUUGUGCAAGUAUGUUUUGUAUUUACAUUUGCUCGUGAAUGAAUUUAAAUGUCCAAUGAUUAUGUCGAAAGUUUUAGCAUGUUUUUCUGAGGGUUCAUGGGACAAUUUGAUUCUAAUUCGCAGGUUUGGUGUCUAUAGGUGUUAGGAGAAAUUCAAUUUAACUUAGUUAUGUUGAAAGGAUUCAUUGGUUGUCUAUUAUUGUUUGCAUGUCCAUUGAGCAGAUCUGGUUGUUUCAAGAUCAUGAUUUUAAAUCCUACAAGUUUGUUUAUGUGAGGUUUAAUUAAGAUUUAAAUAUCAACAUUUCAAGUUAAUUUAGGGCUUUGAAAAUUUAGAGUCAUAUGCUGUAGAGUUUCUUAAGAAUUGGGCCAUUAACUAUUUUUCAAAAUCAUGGCAUCGCUCAAGCUUCAUGUAAUUGUCCACAG